rnacentral:rRNA from 1 species
AGUGGGGAAUAUUGGGCAAUGGACGCAAGUCUGACCCAGCGACGCCGCGUGCGGGAUGAAGGCCUUCGGGUUGUAAACCGCUUUCAGCAGGGAAGAAGCGAAAGUGACGGUACCUGCAAAAGAAGCACCGGCUAACUAUGUGCCAGCAGCCGCGGUAAUACAUAGGGUGCAAGCGUUGUCCGGAAUUAUUGGGCGUAAAGAGUUCGUAGGUGGUUCGUUACGUCGGAUGUGAAAAUCUGGGGCUCAACCCCAGACCUGCAUUCGAUACGGGCGAGCUAGAGUUUGGUAGGGGAGACUGGAAUUCCUGGUGUAGCGGUGGAAUGCGCAGAUAUCAGGAGGAACACCAAUGGCGAAGGCAGGUCUCUGGGCCAAUACUGACACUGAGGAACGAAAGCGUGGGGAGCGAA